rnacentral:rRNA from 1 species
CCUACGGGUGACAGCAGUGGGGGAUAUUGCACAAUGGGGGAAACCCUGAUGCAGCGACGCCGCGUGCGGGAAGACGGUCCUCUGGAUUGUAAACCACUGUCCCCAGGGACGAAGAUGACGGUACCGGGGGAGGAAGCUCCGGCUAACUACGUGCCAGCAGCCGCGGUAAUACGUAGGGAGCGAGCGUUGUCCGGAAUUACUGGGUGUAAAGGGAGCGUAGGCUGGACUGCAAGUUGGGUGUCAAAUCUACCGGCCCAACCGGUAGCCGCACUCAAAACUGCAGUUCUUGAGUGAAGUAGAGGCAGGCGGAAUUCCUAGUGUAGCGGUGAAAUGCGUAGAUAUUAGGAGGAACACCAGUGGCGAAGGCGGCCUGCUGGGCUUUUACUGACGCUGAGGCUCGAAAGUGUGGGGAGCAAACAGGAUUAGAUACCCCUGUAGUC